UUCAACGUACUCAUCAACAUUAGUCAUAAUAAAAAUAGCAUGAGAUUAUAACUCUAUAAUAAUUUUAUAAUAAUCAUUAGGAAUCUCAUAUAGAUUUAUCAAAUUGUAUUUGUUUUGAAAAUGUCAUAGGAUAAUGUGAAGCACACAUACUCACUAUAUGUAUGUAUAUAAAUUAAAGAUAUACAUUGUAGAAUAAAUUGAGCACCAAAGUAGUCCAGAGGUUAAGAUUUGAAAGGCAUUUGUAAGCAGGCAGCUUUCUACUGGGAGCUGCAUUUGGGGCAUGCUAGAAGUAAUCAUAUUGUCUUCGUUGCCUAGUAACAACUCUAAUGCCUUAGAGAAGGACUAUUGCUUCAUUCCCAGGACUCUGCCUGUCUUCCCACAGCAGACUCUAUGCAUUCUUCCCUCCCAGCACCACAGGGAAUGAUUUUAUGGAUUUUGUAAUAAAUGAGUUUGGGGAGAACAUAAAAAAAUAGAAAUCUGAAGGAGUAUGAUUAUUAGAUCAAUACCCUAUAUGUUGAGAAUGGAACUGAAAUGUAAAAGCAUGGAAUUAUGAAAGUGAAUCCCCUAACCUGAAAGUUCCAAAAAAUAAAGGACCAAGAUUAUUGCUCUCACAGGAAAUACACUCUUCUUAAUUUUACUGAGCAGUCAGAAGAAAUUGUUUGUUUGAGCUGGUAGCCUCCCUAGAGGGAAUGUGGCAUAUGAAAAGAGGAUGUAAGAAGAAGAAACCUAGAAUCAAUGAAGAGUAGAAUAAACCCAGGGGAAAGAGAAAAAGACAUCACAGGAUGUAGCAUACAGCUCAACUCAGAGCAAGAAGUCAAAGAGUUCAAGGCAACUCUUCCAGAGAUUUUAAUGCACUUAAACUAUGGAAAUUUCAUGAUCACAUGGUGCAGAAACAUGUACUUCUCUCAUUAAAAAAAAAAUAAUUCAAUGUUCCAGGAAAGGCAAUAAAAACUGUAUGAAGCCAAAUAUGUAAAUGAGUCAUAAUUAAGAGAAUACAAUUAGGAAAAUAUGUCAAAAGAAAGUUCAUUUGACUGUGAUACUAGAAUAACCUCAAUAGCUUGGUACACUUUUGGUGAAGAACAAGGACACUUUUAUACUUUAUUCUACAAUGAAGAAUAAUUUUUAAAUCAUAGUAUGGUAAAUAUCUUUUUUUGCUAAUAUUUGCAAUCAGUUAUAAACCCUACUAUUGAAGAAUCAAUGUACAGAUUAUUUUAUAGCUCAGAUUCUUCACACCAACUUAUGUCUACAUUCUUUGUCAUAUAACUUUGAAAUUAUCCUGUGAAGGAGGAAUGCAUUUCUUCACCUGUUGGCUUUGGGUUUGGAGAUAGGUCAUGAUUUGGCCAUUGAAUGGAGCAAAAGACAAUGAGUCACUUCUAAGCCAACUUAAGUCACCCAUAUUUCACUUGCUUGUUUGAACUUCUGUUAUUGUCACAUUGGAGGUACAAAUGAUAGUUACUGCACGUUCACCUUAGACCUCACAGAUGAUCCCACAGGGAGGAGACUUGAGCACAGAGCUCAGGAGAAUCAGCUUCUCUGUGAAGCUAGAUUGCAGGCCACCAACCCCAAUGACUCUCAGAUGUCUGAGAAAUAAAUACACACAUAUUGUUCUAGUAAGAACGGAGGGUUUGUGAUUGUAGCUUUAGUUAAGACUGACAUACAUUUAUGAAACAGAAUUUGUAAAAACACAAAUGAUAAAUAGCAAUACAGCUUUAGAGGCAAGAAAGAAAUGUGAAGGGUAGCAUAGCAGAUUUAAUGUCUAAAGCUGAUGAGCAAACAGUAAGUUUAAAUAUGUUAUAGUAUUUAAGGUUGGAAAGGAGAUCUGUGUGAAUACUAAAAUAAUUAUAUAACUAAAAUUUUAGUGGGGUUAAUAGCAGGAAGGU